GGAUGUGAGGGCGAUCUUGCUGCGACAUCUGUCACCCCAUUGAUCGCCAGGGUUGAUUCGGCUGAUCUGGCUGGCUAGGCGGGUGUCCCCCUCCUCCCUCACCGAUCCAUGUGCGUCCCUCCCGAAGCUGCGCGCUCGGUCGAAGAGGACGACCUUCCCCCCCGAGGAGAGGACCGGUCUUCGGUCAAGGGUAUACGAGUAGCUGCGCUCCCCUGCUAGAACCUCCAAACAAAAAGGGAGGCCCAGCACGGAGCCCCAGCCAGGUGAGCAGGGCCUACCU
rnacentral:snRNA from 1 species